CAGCAGGCGCGCAAAUUACCCAAUCUCGAUUCGAGGAGGUAGUGACAAGAAAUAACGCAAAUCGGCAAUUGUCGGUUUAUGGAAUGGGGUGGGAACAGAUCUCCCACCGAGUAACGACUGGAGGGCAAGUCUGGUGCCAGCAGCCGCGGUAAUUCCAGCUCCAGUAGCGUAUAUUAAAGUUGUUGCGGUUAAAAAGCUCGUAGUCGAAAACAGUCAAAAUACAGUAGCUUAUCAAUCGCGGAAACGCGAGAGAUGUGCGACUAUAUAAUGACAACCGCAAAGUUGUGUUAGUUCAUGACGGAGCGGGAAGCUACUGUGAAGAAAACAGAGUGUUCCUAGCGGGCGAAUGCUUGAAUGCGCCAGCAUGGAAUAGCGUCAAUUGUGUUGUUGAGGGGCUAGCGUACCUCGAGAACACAUGGAGAUAGAAGCAGCCGGGGGCAUUAGGACUCAAUCGAUAGAGGUGAAAUUCUUGGACCGAUUGAUGACGAACAAGGGCGAAGGCAUUUGUCAAGGAUGUUUUCAUUGAUCAAGAACGAAAGUUAAGGGAUCGAAGACGAUCAGAUACCGUCCUAGUCUUAACCGUAAACUAUGCCGGCUAGGGGCUCUGUGAGUCGCUAUAUGGCUCAUGGGGAACCUUGUGAGAAAUCAAAGCCUUUGGGUUCCGGGGGGAGUAUGGUCGCAAGGCUGAAACUUAAAGGAAUUGACGGAAGAGCACCACCAGGAGUGGAGCCUGCGGCUUAAUUCGACCCGACACGGGGAACCUCACCGGGUCAAGACGUGGUAAGGAUUGACAGACGAGUGAUCUUUCUUGAUUCUGCGGGUGGUGGUGCAUGGCCGUUCUUAGUUGGUGGAGUGAUUUGUCUGGUUUAUUCCGUUAACGAACGAGACCUCAGCCUGCUAAAUAGUUAAGUGCGUCUAUCGGAAAAAUGACGUAGUUAGCUUCUUAGAGGGACUCGCGCGUUUUAGCGCGAGGAAGCGUGAGGCAAUAACAGGUCUGUGAUGCCCUUAGAUGUCCCGGGCUGCACGCGCGCUACAGUGAUGUGAAUAACGAGCGUGACCUGCUUCGGAAGGAGUGGGGAAUCUUUGAUACCACAUCGCGCUGGGGAUAGAUCAUUGCAAUUAUUGAUCUUGAACGAGGAAUUCCUAGUAGGCGCAUGUCAGCAGCAUGUGCCGAAUACGUCCCUGCUCUUUGCACACACCGCCCGUCGCUCCUACCGAUUGAGUGAAGUGGUGAGUAUGGUGGAGGUU
rnacentral:rRNA from 1 species